UCGAUAUUCCAACGAUAUAAAAGACACCACCAAUCGGACAGAUGAAACAGACACGGCUGACUCUUGCAGUUGACAAUCUCAGAUCACCAAUAGCCAACAUGCAGAAAUAUUUCAUUGCUUUAAUGCUGAUGGCCGUCGCAUCGGCAACUCUGGAUGCCACCAGCAAUAAAGACGCUGGUGCUGUCAAGAGCGAUUCAUCCGCACCGGUGAAAUCCGUCGCUAAUUACAGGACCGACCAACGCAUCCGCCGGCAGGCAGCCACACCCUUUACUCCCAACGUUCCGGUCAUUAACGGCGCCAACAUUCAAUCCACGUCUCUAACUUGAGUUCAGGCACCUGAAGUGAAGCCAUUGGCGUCGCAAUUGGCGGACAACAGCGUCGAUUCCAAACCGGAAAGCGGAAGCAC